UUGAUGUGUUAUCUUAGUUUGUAAGUUUAAUAAGAAUUUCAGACUUUAAAUAACGUUUUGCUUUUAUAAAGCCGUGUGAUUAAUUGUAAAUAUGAAUCUAUGUACAGUGUCCUGAGUGUUUGAUCUUGGUUCCGAAUUUAAAAUAAAGUUUGCAAGAACCUACAAAAAGACCUUGACGUGAACUUAAAACUAAAUACAUGAAAAUUAUUGUAAAAGCGGACUAAAAGUUUAAGAUGAUUACGGAACAGAAAAUGGUUAUAAAAGCAAUACAUCCAAAGUGAAACAAUAAGUGCGAGAACUUGAAUGAUUUGUGCCUAAGCCGCGCCUUUUGAAUUGACAAAGUCAAAUCAAUGAAAACUAUCAUCCUAUCGGAGUGUACUUAGCCUGACUCAAAGAAACUCUACACCUGGUCUAACUACUUUCCAUGACUUCUCCACUAAUUCAGAACAGCAAAAGUUACCAGCUCCAAACACUUCGUUUGCAACUCAACUCUGCAUCCUGAAAUAUUUAAUCUGGGCAAAAACAUUGAGAUUCUGAUUUGUGUUAACAACAAUGAGCUGACAACAUCCUCUCCCAACACAUUAACAACUUUGAGACAGCAACGCCUCUCCCCCAAAGGUGCUGAUCUAUAUAGAAAAACAAAUAAAAUGAGCCUGCCAACCUUUAGUUUAUGAAUCAUCAUUAGUAUCCAAUCGAGUUUCAAAUGAGGUAAAAUACUACAAAAUCGCUGAUGCAGAGUAACAAGAUUACAGGCUGGAAAAAUGCACCAAUCCAUUGUGAAUAAAAACACCUACAGAAGACUAAGAAGAUAUAGGCUGCCCUUGUUCCAUCAAACCUACUUGAAAGUUGUAAAUGUAGUCACAUGACUUAUUAUGCUUUACUAUUUCGAAUCCAUUGUAAAACCAGCACUAUCUUGUGACUAAAAAACAUAGAGAUUGAAGAUCCUAGUACUUCAAGUCUUCGCUUACAUGUUGCUAUGGGAUUCUAGACUCUGUUUUUAAGCUUUAAAUACAUAGAGUAUGUAUCAACCUGCAAUUAUGAAGCAAAUUGUGACACUGACAGUAAGACGCAGAAGAUUAUGGCCACGCUUGCCCCUUCAAAACCUGUUAGAAAAACAAAUGUACUUACAUGAUUCAUCAGGCUUUCCUUCUACUAACUGCUUGUAAUGUCUGCACUUCAUUUGACUGAAAAACUUAGUAAAUGACUACAGAUUCCUGACAACAUGUCCCUGCGAUUGGUUCUACACGUUUC